GUUUGCUUCUCCCCAACAGUGCAGGAGGGUUCCCUUUCUCCGUAACUUUGCCAAUAUACACUGUUCAUCAUACCGAAAGCUAGUUGACAAUCUAAAUGUCCACCAAGUGAUGGCAUACCUACCGAAUGGAAUGUCAUGCCCGUUAGAAAGAAGAACCCAGCUCGACAAGGAAAGAUUUCCAAGUUCUUACAAGCUCUCCAAGUUUGGAAUGAGCGAGUCAAGGUCAUGCUGUAACUGUCACCCCCGCAACAGCAAAGACAAAAUCAAGUAGAGCCUGGUCGCCGGCGGUGGCCGUGUCACGGACGCCACAAAGAGGAAGCUGUCCCAGCUCCGAAAAGUCAGAAUCCUGGGGGUGGGCUUGGUUAGAUGAGGGUGUGCGAUUAGUGACAGGGUCUGAAUAUUAAGAAUAUUAACGUCCAGAAGACGGGGCAGGGACCAGGAGGAAGCUCCACUAAUCUGGGACAGCUGAUGCAUCAGAAAGCUCAAAGAUAAGUAAAACACUAACAGUCACCACCCUGAAUUUUCUUCUGACUGGCAAGAAUAUAUUUCAAAAGAAGACUGCUCCUGGGGCGUCUGGGUGGCUC